AACGAACGCUGGCGGCAGCUUAACACAUGCAAGUCUAGCGAUGAAAUUCCUUCGGGAAUGGAUUAGCGGCGGACGGGUGAGUAACACGUGGGUAACCUGCCUCAUAGAGGGGAAUAGCCUUCCGAAAGGAAGAUUAAUACCACAUAAGAUUGUAGUGCCGCAUGGCAUAGCAAUUAAAGGAGUAAUCCGCUAUGAGAUGGACCCGCGUCGCAUUAGCUAGUUGGUGAGGUAACGGCUCACCAAGGCGACGAUGCGUAGCUGACCUGAGAGGGUGAUCGGCCACAUUGGGACUGAGACACGGCCCAGACUCCUACGGGAGGCAGCAGUGGGGAAUAUUGCACAAUGGGGGAAACCCUGAUGCAGCAACGCCGCGUGAGUGAUGAAGGUCUUCGGAUUGUAAAGCUCUGUCUUCAGGGACGAUAAUGACGGUACCUGAGGAGGAAGCCACGGCUAACUACGUGCCAGCCGCCGCGGUAA
rnacentral:rRNA from 1 species